UCUGUUCUCAGGUGAAUCUGAUGGAGACAGACUCGCUCCUUUUAUACGGCGUGACCCGAGCACUUUAUUGACCAGUGUACUGAAGUCCUAUCAAAAAAUAAAGUUCAAGGAGAGACUUUCAGUGACGCACAGGACUUGUACCGCGUCAGCAGAAACGCUGACCAGCAGGGUAAACACACAGGGCCAAAGGCUGAUCAACAAGGGGCCAGAAAAACAGCAGCAGGACAAACUGGCGCUUGCUUAUGCACCUACUGGAACAUCCAGACAGUCAGGAAUUAGAGUCAUCCAAUCUAGAGCCUCCAGAUACUGUGCAUCCAAGAUCCAAGAAAAAAACCAAAAAAAUAUUCCAAGCCUUGUUCCAGGCUCUGUUACAAGCCCUGUUCUACAGUAAGGGUCAAUGUGGCGACUUCCCUCACCAUGUUGCAAGCCAAGCUCCCUGCAGAGGCUGAUGUGGCAGCCUCCAAAACCAAGCUGCAUGCAGAGGGAGAAGUAUGGUCUUCCAGAUCAUGGCAGGCCCUGUGUCUUUUGUUUUGAUUCUCCGCUCCUGUCUUGUUGCUGGAAUAAGGACACAUUGCUCCCCGAACGUGUCCUUAUUGUAUUCAUCAUAUUCACUUGUUUUCACAUUUGUUCUUAGUUGAGUAUUCUGAGUAUUCUCUUGAGUAUUUUGAAGACAUCACAUGAUGGCCUGUGCAUGGCAACAGUGAAAUUAAGUGGAAACACAAAAUUACUGCAACAUGGACAUGUGACAUAACAAAGUGCUCAGAGUUUUGCUCAGAGCACAAAGAGUAAUAGUAUUUGCACCCUAUCUAUCCACUUGCAACCAAAAGUAUUGGCACCCUGUCUGUCCACUCGGGGAUGAGUUUUGUCACGGCAAAAUGUACAUAUCUAGUUAUUUAUUGCUCCUCUAAUGUACCCUUAUUUUAUUCACCAUAUUCACCUGUUUCCAGGUUUGUUCUUAUUUCUAUUUAUGUCUCUUGUGUGCCAUGUCCUCAAUGUGAAUAUCAGUGUUGUUUACUCGCUGUACUAAGCUAUGUUUCAUGUUUCCUAUUCUCAAUUCUUGUAUAGCCAUAGCCAUUCUUUGUUUUAUUUUUAGUUUUCAUGUUUAUUUUUUACCUCAGGUUCUGUUCUAUGUAUUUUGUGUUCUCACCCUAGCCGAUGAUAAUCUGUUUGCUGAUCACUUGACCUUCUACGUUUGUGCUUAUUAAUGCCGGCUCCAUCCGUCCACCUCUGUAUUUCAAACACCACCAUAUUACACCAUAAAACCUCAAAAAAAUCUUCUCAGGAUAAAGAAGCAACAAGAGGGAUUAAACAAAUAUCUGUUUAGCUACAUGUUUUUACUGUUUUGUCACUGAAAACGCCUAGCUACAACAUUUUCAGCAUUUACUGGACAGACAGAGCAAUGUACAUUUAUCUCAUUGAUACAACUGAGCAAUUUAAGCUUAAGGGCCUUAAAAAACCUGGUGGUCCUAGGCUUCAAACUUCCAACGUUCCAAUCAGUAGUCCAAUGUCUUAAGCGCUGAGCUAGUACUUCCCCACUAGAAGAGGAUGCCUUUCUAUUAUGGCACAGAUGUAACAGUCCAUCCAAAUCCUUGAAGCCUAUGUUACUCUGAGAAUCAUGAGAUGGCCCCUUAUGGAGAGCCUAAAGAUUACUGCACUUGGUAUCACAUAGAUACACUACAGAUGGCUGUGGAUGGUUUCACAUGGACAGCUGAAAUAUUAGACUUAGUGAAAUAGUUUAUGUGUCUCAUUCAUGAUUUAGUGGAUUUCUGUACUUUGACACUGUAAGCUUAAAGCUAAAAACUAUAAUGGAAUAAAAAUGUCUGAUGCUUAUACUGAAGAUGCUUUCAAUAGCACUGUUUAACUUAUUAGUAUAUAGCUGUGAAUUAGUAAUGUUUCAUAAUCUGGUGUCACCCAGAAGAGUAUGGGUUCCCUUUUUUGUCUGGUUCCUUUUUCCUCAUGUUGCUGAGUUUUUCCUUACCACCUUCAC